UACGUAGGGACCGAGCGUUGUCCGGAUUUAUUGGGCGUAAAGAGCGUGUAGGCGGCCAUACAGGUCAGCUGUGAAAACUCGAGGCUCAACCUCGAGACGUCGGUUGAAACCGUAUGGCUAGAGUCCGGAAGAGGAGAGUGGAAUUCCCGGUGUAGCGGUGAAAUGCGCAGAUAUCGGGAAGAACACCUAUGGCGAAGGCAGCUCUCUGGGACGGUACUGACGCUGAGACGCGAAAGCGUGGGGAGCAAACAGG
rnacentral:rRNA from 1 species